CUGGAGAAAGGUAAGAUUUUAACCCCUUCCUACCCCUUCAGCCCGGCGGGAGGGGGGCCCUGAGGGUGAGGGCACCCUCAGGGCACUAUAGUGCCAGGAAAACGAGUUUGUUUUCCUGGCACUAUAGUGGUCCUUUAAUCUCUUAAGGACACAUGACAUGUGUGACAUGUCAUGAUUCUCUUUUAUUACAGAACUUUGGUCCUUAAGGGGUUAAA